GACUCUUGAAACGGUGUCGGGAUAGUAGCCUAGUCUGUCAACACAUAUGGACCACGACAUGCUUCACGUUUCUGUAUAAGAGGCGCAUCUUCCACGAGAAGCUGGGGAAGGCACUCGUGGUACCGCAUAUACAACGGAGGCAGCACAAGGACCCCAACCACUGCAGCCACAGUGAGGGAGAUCCAGGAGAGGGUUGCACCUAGUACACCAAUGCCUGAGGUUGCUGCUGGGGGAAGAAGGAAGUGGAAGAGGUGCCAGGUCUGCAUGACGUCAAGAUGAGCACGACAUGUGCGACGUGCAAAAUUCAUUUGCACAAAGCAUACCGUGACGACUUGUCCCUCAUGUGCUGUGUAGAUACACAGAUACACACGCACACACACACACGCCUCGUUCAU